ACCUACGGGGCGCAGCAGUAGGGAAUCUUCCACAAUGGGCGAAAGCCUGAUAGAGCAACGCCGCGUGGGUGAAGAAGGUCUUCGGAUCGUAAAACCCUGUUGUUAGAGAAGAAAGUGCGUGAGAGUAACUGUUCACGUUUCGACGGUAUCUAACCAGAAAGCCACGGCUAACUACGUGUCAGCAGCCGCGGUAAUACGUAGGUGGCAAGCGUUAUCCGGAUUUAUUGGGCGUAAAGGGAACGCAGGCGGUCUUUUAAGUCUGAUGUGAAAGCCUUCGGCUUAACCGGAGUAGUGCAUUGGAAACU
rnacentral:rRNA from 1 species